CAGGGUAUAGCUCAAUUGGUAGAGCACAUGCUUAGCAUGCAUAAGGUCCUGGGUUCAAUCCCCAGUACCUUCA
rnacentral:tRNA from 1 species